CCUACGGGGUGCACCAGUGGGGAAUAUUGCACAAUGGGCGCAAGCCUGAUGCAGCCAUGCCGCGUGUAUGAAGAAGGCCUUCGGGUUGUAAAGUACUUUCAGCGGGGAGGAAGGUGGUGAGCUUAAUACGCUCAUCAAUUGACGUUACCGACAGAAGAAGCACCGGCUAACUCCGUGCCAGCAGCCGCGGUAAUACGGAGGGUGCAAGCGUUAAUCGGAAUUACUGGGCGUAAAGCGCACGCAGGCGGUUGAUUGAGUCAGAUGUGAAAUCCCCGGGCUUAACCCGGGAAUUGCAUCUGAUACUGUCAGCUAGAGUCUUGUAGAGGGGGGUAGAAUUCCAUGUGUAGUGGUGAAAUGCGUAGAGAUGUGGAGGAAUACCGGUGGCGAAGGCGGCCCCCUGGACAAAGACUGACGCUCAGGUGCGAAAGCGUGGGGAGCAAACAGGAUUAGAUACCCUCGUAGUC
rnacentral:rRNA from 1 species